rnacentral:rRNA from 1 species
UACGGGGGGAGCAAGCGUUGUUCGGAUUUACUGGGCGUAAAGGGCGGGUAGGCGGCCACUGCAAGUCGGUUGUGAAAUCUCCGGGCUUAACCCGGAAAGGUCAAUCGAUACUGCAGGGCUAGAGUGCAGAAGGGGCAACUGGGAAUUCUCGGUGUAGCGGUGAAAUGCGUAGAUAUCGAGAGGAACACCUGCGGCGAAGGCGGGUUGCUGGGCUGACACUGACGCUGAACUGCGAAAGCUAGGGGAGCGAACGGG